rnacentral:rRNA from 1 species
GACGAACGCUGGCGGCGUGCUUAACACAUGCAAGUCGAGCGGAGCGGCGAACGGGGGAGUAACGCGAGAGUAACUGCACCUCCCUCUGGGAUAACAGUUGGAAACGGCUGCGAAUACCGGAUAGUGGGGGAUGACUCGCGCCCGAUCAGCUUGUUGGUGGUUUAGUGGCGUACCAAGGCGACGACGGGUCGCCGGCCUGAGAGGGCGACCGGCCACCUUGUGCUGUGAUACGGCCCAAACUCCGACGGGUGGCAGCAGUGGGGGAUAUUGCACAAUGGGGGAAACCCUGAUGCAGCAACGCCGCGUGCGGGAUGACGGCCUUCGGGUUGUAAACCGCUUUCAGCCAUGACGCGGUAGUGGCAGAAGAAGCACCGGCUAACUACGUGCCAGCAGCCGCGGUAAUUC